rnacentral:rRNA from 1 species
ACCCCAUGUGAACAUACCUGUUUCGUUCCCUCGGCGGUGUCCGGCAACGGCCCGCCAGAGGACCCAACAAACUCUUUUGAAUUUUUCAGUAUCUUCUGAGUGAAAAAAAACAAUAAAUCAAAACUUUCAACAACGGAUCUCUUGGUUCUGGCAUCGAUGAAGAACGCAGCGAAAUGCGAUAAGUAAUGUGAAUUGCAGAAUUCAGUGAAUCAUCGAAUCUUUGAACGCACAUUGCGCCCGCCAGUAUUCUGGCGGGCAUGCCUGUUCGAGCGUCAUUUCAACCCUCAAGCACCUUCGGGAGCUUGGUGUUGGGGAUCGGCAGGGCGUCCUCCGGGUCGCGCCGUCCCCCAAAUCUAGUGGCGGUCUCGCUGUAGCUUCCUCUGCGUAGUAAUACACCUCGCUCUGGAGUCUCGGUGCGGCCACGCCGUUAAACCCCCAACUUUUUUCUGGUUGACCUCGAAUCAGGUAGGACUACCCGCUGAACUUAAGCAUAU